UGCAGAGGUCUCAAGCGUUGUUCGGAUUCAUUGGGCGUAAAGGGUGCGUAGGCGGCGCGGUAAGUCGGGUGUGAAAUCUCGGAGCUUAACUCCGAAACUGCAUUUGAUACUGCCUUGCUUGAGGACUGGAGAGGAGACUGGAAUUCACGGUGUAGCAGUGAAAUGCGUAGAGAUCGUGAGGAAGACCAGUGGCGAAGGCGGGUCUCUGGACAGUUCCUGACACUGAGGCACGAAGGCCAGGGGAGCAAACGGG
rnacentral:rRNA from 1 species